UUGACCUCAAAUCAGGUAGGACUACCCGCUGAACUUAAGCAUAUCAAUAAGCGGAGGAAAAGAAACCAACAGGGAUUGCCUCAGUAGCGGCGAGUGAAGCGGCAAAAGCUCAAAUUUGAAAUCUGGCGUCUUUGGCGUCCGAGUUGUAAUUUGAAGAAGGUAUCUUUGGGCCCGGCUCUUGUCUAUGUUCCUUGGAACAGGACGUCACAGAGGGUGAGAAUCCCGUGCGAUGAGAUGGCCCGGGUCUAUGUAAAGUUCCUUCGACGAGUCGAGUUGUUUGGGAA
rnacentral:rRNA from 1 species